UCUCCUCUCUUCGUCCACUCUAUUUAUACCUCAUAUUACCAUCUCCCUCCUCAAGGCAAAACCUUCUCCAACAACCCUUCUUAAUUUCCUUACAUAUACAUACAUAUUCAUCUCUCUCUCUAUAUAUAUAUAUAUAUGUAUGUAUAUGUCUCUCUCUCUCUCCCCUAAACCACCCCAUCUGAGAUGAGAAGUGUGAAAUAGUUAAUCUUUGUAAUUAGUUGUUGGAACCGUGCAGUAGCAUCUGUUGAAGCUGCCAGCAUGAUCUAAACUCUCCUCUUUCUUGAGGAUGGAUCAGAUCAUGUGGUAGCUUCAUCAGAUCCAACCUGUGCGACAAUAUCAUUUAUUUAUUUAUUUAUUUUUAUAAAUAUAAAGAUUUUAUUUUUUUUUAAAUAAAAUUUUACACAGAAACCCUAAUUUUUGUAGAACCCUAUUUUGAAGCUUGUCUACAACUAGCUAGGGUUUCUGUUCUUGGAGAAAUUAAGGCAAGACAGCUACCAGUCUAUCAAGCUCUCUUCUUAUUGUCUUUUUUUUGUAUACAUGUAUAUAUAAUUAUGUGUAUAUUAUAGAAUAUAGAUACAUAAAUAUAUGUAUGUAUUAAGUGUACAUAUAUAUAUAUCAUAUCAUCUUCCUCA